GCAAACUUGGUCAUUUAGAGGAAGUAAAAGUCGUAACAAGGUCUCCGUUGGUGAACCAGCGGAGGGAUCAUUAUAGAGUUUUCUAAACUCCCAACCCAUGUGAACUUACCAUUGUUGCCUCGGCAGAAGCUGCUCGGUGCACCUUACCCUGGAACGGCCUACCCUGUAGCGCCUUACCCUGGAACGGCUUACCCUGCAACGGCUGCCGGUGGACUACCAAACUCUUGUUAUUUUAUGGUUAUCUGAGCGUCUUAUUUUAAUAAGUCAAAACUUUCAACAACGGAUCUCUUGGUUCUGGCAUCGAUGAAGAACGCAGC
rnacentral:misc_RNA from 1 species